UGGAGUUGGUCCUGGUCGG
rnacentral:snRNA from 1 species